UACGUAGGGUGCGAGCGUUAAUCGGAAUUACUGGGCGUAAAGCGUGCGCAGGCGGUGAUGUAAGUCAGAUGUGAAAGCCCCGGGCUUAACCUGGGAAUGGCAUUUGAGACUGCAUAGCUAGGGUGCGGAAGAGGGAAGCGGAAUUUCCGGUGUAGCGGUGAAAUGCGUAGAUAUCGGAAGGAACACCAGUGGCGAAAGCGGCUUCCUGGUCCAGCACCGACGUUCAGGCACGAAAGCGUGGGAGCAAACAGG
rnacentral:rRNA from 1 species